rnacentral:rRNA from 1 species
AGCGAACGCUGGCGGCAGGCCUAACACAUGCAAGUCGAACGGACCUUUCAGGGUUAGUGGCGGACGGGUGAGUGACACGUGGGAACGUGCCUUUUGGUUCGGAAUAGCUCCUGGAAACGGGUGGUAAUGCCGAAUGUGCCCUUUGGGGGAAAGAUUUAUCGCCAUUAGAGCGGCCCGCGUCUGAUUAGCUAGUUGGUGAGGUAAAGGCUCACCAAGGCGACGAUCAGUAGCUGGUCUGAGAGGAUGACCAGCCACAUUGGGACUGAGACACGGCCCAAACUCCUACGGGAGGCAGCAGUGGGGAAUCUUGCGCAAUGGGCGAAAGCCUGACGCAGCCAUGCCGCGUGAAUGAUGAAGGUCUUAGGAUUGUAAAAUUCUUUCACCGGGGACGAUAAUGACGGUACCCGGAGAAGAAGCCCCGGCUAACUUCGUGCCAGCCGCCGCGGUAACAC